CUGAAGCCAGCAGAGACGGCCCACAGUCCGGAGCCGGCAGAGUGUCCGGCAACAGUGCCCCGUCCAGAGUGUCCGGCAACAGUGCCCCUUCCAGAAUGUCCGGCAACAAUGCCCCGUCCAGAGUGUCCGGCGACAGUGCCCCGUAUACUACAGUUUACUACAGAAUUCUAUAACAAACCGAAGCGCGGAGAUCGCACAGGACAGCAGUACAUAAAGCCUGAAGAAAACAGCAUAAGUUGCAAGAAACGUUGUCAGCGUUUGCAGGGUACAAAUCAAGACCCUGAAAGUCCAAGAACGGAGACGAGAAGCACACUACAUGGCCACCAUGCCUCUUCAACAACUUCAAAAACUCUAAACUUCCACUAUGGGCCUUGGGGGAUCUAAGAGCAAAGCAAAGCAGCCAAAUCAGACAAAGCCAAACAAGAGUUUGCAAAUAUACUGAGAGGAAGCUAAUAAAUAAAUAAAAAAUUCCAAAAGUUGUGUGAGCAGAGCAUUGUUUUUUUUUUAUACAAAGCCUGGAAGCAACAAAAGAGGUCAACAAGCAAGCUUGGUGGAAAUAAACAAGAAGACAGCCGUGAGACAGUUUUACCUAGCAGGCAAACCCCUGCCAAGAAAGACACUAUCACACUAAGGAAGGUGAAGAAAAAGGAGGCUCCUUUGUGAUUCCCGGCGUAACCUCCACAGGAAAUACGUUGCUGAGCAUGGGCAACAGAUUUCAUCAUGCGCCUUCUUCUGAAAGGAGAGACCCUUUUGGGUGAUGACACCACAGGAGAGGCCAAGAAACUUGCCAGUGCAAGACUCAUGAAAAAUUGCGUUUUAUGGCAAAUCAAAUGCUCAAACGUGGUCAAACUUGGCCAUAAUCGAGGAUGAGCUUGUUACCCAGUUCCGGGAAAGGCGCUUUAAAAUGUAGGAGACGUCUGUUCAACAUUCGAUGGCAGGUACCACAGCUACCGGACCUUGAGAGAGAACCUGACUAAUGACUGCCUGAUCCAUAUAGUUUUUUGUAAAAAACUUCACAUGCAUGUAUGCUUCAGAGAUCCAGUCAGUUCACUUCGGGGGUUCACACAAGCAGGUGACGCUCCACACUGGUAUCAUCUAUGUGGCAGAGGAGCCCCCACCCAUCUCUUUCUGCACCUUCUCACCCGACAGCCAUAUGGGCUCACCUGGACCCCAUUCUGGACAUGCUAAAACAGCGGUACCCUACCGUGCAACACCUUCACUUCUUCAAUGAUGGCCCUGCCACCCAAUAUAAACAGAAGGGCAACUUCUAUAUGGUUGGUACUGAACCUGUCAAGAACGGCAUCCAGGGAAGUACGUGGAACUUUUUUGAGGCCAGUCACAGAAAGGGUGCUCCGGAUGGAGUGGGUGGUUCACAGCUGACCUCUUGGUCCACCACGGGAAAGACAUAACUGCAAUGUCUUUCUAUUAGGAGGUAAGAGACUCUGGCACUCAAAUACAGUUGUAUUAUGUCAGUGAGGAAGAGGUGGCAUAAAGUAAGCAUAAAAGGGAACCAUGCGAAUGCACCAGGUUCUUAGUAUCAUGCCUGGCAACCUAUAACGUCUCUGCCAAGCAGCGCAAGGAGUGUGGGAUUGCCCAUGUUAUGGACUCCAAGAAAUCACUCUCCCGACAGUGCCGGCUAAUGGCCACGGUCUCUCACCUCCACAUCAAACAGAUGUCAUUGACCCGGAUGCCUCAGCUCCACUUCGGCCAGAUGUCAUCGAGGCUCACCACACUGGACAGUGGUGCAUUGUGAACUAUGACGAACAACCAUACCCUGGCGUUAUAGCGUUAUACUGGAGGUCGAAGAACAAAAUGUCAAAGUUAAGUGCAUGCACAGGAAUGGAGUCAACAAGUUCUUCUGGCCAAACCCAAGAGAUGAUAUCAACUGGUAUGGGGAUUACCAGAUUGUGUGUCUGAUGCCAAAGCCGCUGUCAGUGAACAAAAGAUCAGAUUGACCACAGUAUCUGGAAGUACUUGGAGGAGCACCUGAAUGUGGGAAAGUGGCAGGUGUGAACUGGCUACCAUAGAAGAAGCCGUCAGCGGCUAGAAAGCAAUGGAGACUGGCUCAGAGAUGAUAACAGAUGGACCUGACACAAUAACAUGGCAAAGACAAACAUGAACAAACAUUUCUAAAGACAAACACAUCUCAAGUAAAAGUGAAGUUAGUAUGGGAAAUAAUUUGUACGGGAAAAGUUAGUACAGGAAAUAGGCCUAUUACAUGAACAUAUUUGACUUUAGUCCUAGUUUACAUUCACUGUUGUGUUUCUAUUGUUAUAAUAAACAUAUUUUAUGUUUGUACGACAAUGUUGUGUUAGGAAAUACAUUUUAGUCCAUAAGAUUAAGACCAAAAGAUGAAGCCUAUUGACUAAAAUGUCUAUCCUAACACAACAUUGUCGUACAAAGUAAAACAUGUCUUGGCCAGAAGAAAUAAAAGAUAUUACUAAAUUGA